GCCCGGCUAGCUCAGUUGGUAGAGCAUGAGACUCUUAAUCCCAGGGUUAUGGGUUUGAGUUCCAUGUUGGGCA